UAAUCGGGGCAGGGUGAGUCGACCCCUAAGGCGAGGCCGAAAGGCGUAGUCGAUGGGAAACGGGUUAAUAUUCCCGUACUUGGUGUUACUGCGAAGGGGGGACGGAGAAGGCUAUGUUGGCCGGGCGACGGUUGUCCCGGUUUAAGCGUGUAGGUGUGUGUUCCAGGUAAAUCCGGUUCACUUUAACACUGAGGCGUGACGACGAGGCACUACGGUGCUGAAGCAACAAAUGCCCUGCUUCCAGGAAAAGCCUCUAAGCAUCAGGUAACAUCAAAUCGUACCCCAAACCGACACAGGUGGUCAGGUAGAGAAUACCAAGGCGCUUGAGAGAACUCGGGUGAAGGAACUAGGCAAAAUGGUGCCGUAACUUCGGGAGAAGGCACGCUGACACGUAGGUGAAGUGAUUUACUCAUGGAGCUGAAGUCAGUCGAAGAUACCAGCUGGCUGCAACUGUUUAUUAAAAACACAGCACUGUGCAAACACGAAAGUGGACGUAUACGGUGUGACGCCUGCCCGGUGCCGGAAGGUUAAUUGAUGGGGUCAGCGCAAGCGAAGCUCCUGAUCGAAGCCCCGGUAAACGGCGGCCGUAACUAUAACGGUCCUAAGGUAGCGAAAUUCCUUGUCGGGUAAGUUCCGACCUGCACGAAUGGCGUAAUGAUGGCCAGGCUGUCUCCACCCGAGACUCAGUGAAAUUGAACUCGCUGUGAAGAUGCAGUGUACCCGCGGCAAGACGGAAAGACCCCGUGAACCUUUACUAUAGCUUGACACUGAACAUUGAGCCUUGAUGUGUAGGAUAGGUGGGAGGCUUUGAAGUGUGGACGCCAGUCUGCAUGGAGCCGACCUUGAAAUACCACCCUUUAAUGUUUGAUGUUCUAACGUGGACCCGUUACCCGGGUUGCGGACAGUGUCUGGUGGGUAGUUUGACUGGGGCGGUCUCCUCCUAAAGAGUAACGGAGGAGCACGAAGGUUGGCUAAUCCUGGUCGGACAUCAGGAGGUUAGUGCAAUGGCAUAAGCCAGCUUGACUGCGAGCGUGACGGCGCGAGCAGGUGCGAAAGCAGGUCAUAGUGAUCCGGUGGUUCUGAAUGGAAGGGCCAUCGCUCAACGGAUAAAAGGUACUCCGGGGAUAACAGGCUGAUACCGCCCAAGAGUUCAUAUCGACGGCGGUGUUUGGCACCUCGAUGUCGGCUCAUCACAUCCUGGGGCUGAAGUAGGUCCCAAGGGUAUGGCUGUUCGCCAUUUAAAGUGGUACGCGAGCUGGGUUUAGAACGUCGUGAGACAGUUCGGUCCCUAUCUGCCGUGGGCGCUGGAGAACUGAGGGGGGCUGCUCCUAGUACGAGAGGACCGGAGUGGACGCAUCACUGGUGUUCGGGUUGUCAUGCCAAUGGCACUGCCCGGUAGCUAAAUGCGGAAGAGAUAAGUGCUGAAAGCAUCUAAGCACGAAACUUGCCCCGAG
rnacentral:rRNA from 1 species